rnacentral:misc_RNA from 1 species
AUCAUUCUUAUUGCAAUUUACAAAGUUUCGUCUUAUCAAACUACACGAAAAACACCACCCACCACCACCACCGCCGCCGCCGAACCCACACCCACGCCCUUUGUUUCAAAUCUCAAAUCUCAUCUUCCAAAUUCAUCGGAAAAUUCUUUUUCACUUUUCCUUUUUAAUUCUUCUUCUUAUUUUUAUUUUUAUUUGUAUACACUGUUAUGUGUACCCAUGUAGAUUUUACACGUUUCAUUUUCUACCAAGAAGUCUUCAAAUUGGGCAUAUCUGUGGCCAAUUUCCUGACGGGCUGCUGUUGAUUUAAUUGUUUCUAGUUCAUGGGUAUUGGGUCAUAGGUAAUGGGAAUUGGGUAUAAUUUAAUAAUCAGAAUCUAGUCACUAAUAAUAAUCUUUGAUAUUCUGUAAUUCAGUGGAGGUUGUUAGAUAAUUUAUUAAUUUAUUAUAAUAUGGGAAAUGUGAAUGGAAGAGGAGAAGAAGAUGGGGUAACUAGCCCUUCAGGAUCAGGUGGUGGUGGGGUGGGAGCUGGGGUUGAUGAAGAGGAGGGAGGAGGAGGAGGAAAUAACGGCGGCGAGGGCAUGGUUGUUCCAGAUGAGACCCACCUUGGCUGCCUUCCCCCUCCUCCUGAAUUGAUGGGUCAGUCCCCUCCUCACAGCCCUAGAGCCACUCAAUCACCUCUCAUGUUCACUCCUCAGGUUCCAGUGGUUCCGCUACAAAGACCAGACGAGAUCCAAAUACCAAGCAAUUCAUGGAUGCAAAAUACUGUUGGGUAUGAAGAAAUGUGCAAUGAGCAAGGAAUUCCGACAAUGAUUUCAUGGAGCUAUGGUGGCAAGGAAGUAGCUGUUGAGGGAUCAUGGGACAACUGGAAAACAAGGAUUCCCUUGCAGAGAUCUGGUAAAGAUUACAAUAUAAUGAAAGUACUUCCUUCUGGCGUUUACCAAUACAGGUUUAUUGUUAAUGGACAGUUGAGGUACAUCCCUGACUUACCUUGGGCUCAAGAUGAUACUGGCAAUGCUUACAACAUUUUGGAUUUGCAGGAUUAUGUUCCAGAGGACCUUGAGAGUAUAUCUAGUUUUGAACCCCCUCAGUCUCCAGAGUCAAGCUACAGCAAUAUGCAACUUGGAAGUGACGAUUUCGCAAAGGAGCCACCAUUUGUUCCCCCACACUUACAGAUGACACUGCUCAAUAUGCCUUCAUCGUACAUGGAGAUUCCACCUCCCUUAUCAAGACCUCAACACGUGGUGCUUAAUCAUCUCUACAUGCAAAAAGGGAAGGGUGGCCCUGCUCUGGUGGCACUUGGUUCGACACAUCGUUUUUUAGCCAAGUAUGUGACAGUGGUGCUCUACAAGUCCUUGCAGAGGUAAUAAUUUAUUGCACCUAUGCUGGUUUUUAGUCUAUAGUCACCGGAUGUAGUCAGUAUAAUUAUUAAGAGGAAAAGCUACAACAGUGGCUUAAGUAAUCCCAAGGGAUCUUUCACGCGAUGCAAAUGCUUGAUGAACAUUGGUUAGGCAACCUAUUACUUGUUUUGGUUUUCCAUAUGUAGAAAUUAUUCUUCUAAUAUUACAAGACUACGUAUUAUUUGAAUUUAUAUGAGGGUGUAAGAGGAGUUGAUAUUCUAUUAUUCUGUGCUUAAUCUCAAAAACACAACUGAAUCAAUUCAGAGAAUAGAUUAAGACAGAAGAGAUGCAUUUUCAUUCCUUACUAUGUUUCGAGCAUGGCGCAGAAAUAAAGAAAAGCAUCAGAAAUACAUCUGCAAUACUUGGAUAAUGGAUUCACCAUUUUCCCAAAAAGGAUAUGAACCACACCAAAGCUAUGCCAGAAGCAUGUAUAAAAUAUACAAGGUAGUUAUUUGAAGGUCUUUUUCUGCUCCACUGUAUUUCCCUUCCCUCCCUCUUUUAGAACUAAGCCAACUCUGCCUGCUGCUACAUGUCUACCUAAAAACUGGGCAACCUUUGACCAUGAUGCCUGGUGCCGUUGGACAUGUAGCCAAAGGACAGUGAUCAAUAUCUGUACCCCACCACUUCAAAAUUUUUCCUUCAUUUUGCAGAGCAAAGAACAAUAAUACACCCAUGAAAGCCGUUCCAGCAUCCAAUGCCGCGGACAGAACAUAGUUAUAUUUCUGCCACCAGCGUUUGUGAUAUCGGAAUACAAAGUAGUUGAAGAUUGUUCCAGUGAUAAGCCAACUUGCUAUGUUGGUGGGAGUUGCAGGUGGCAUUCCAGCAAAACCAUAAGAUAUAACUGGUAUAUUAAUCAAUGGAAUCCAUGUCUUCUCAGGGAACAUUUUGCUCAGUAUCCAAACAGGUACUGGCAAGAAAGCACCAAUGAGGAAUAACCAUACCAGAUUAUGGUACAUCCCUCCAGGUCCGAAGAGUCUUCUGGGACCAAUCAGGCCCCAGAUGACUGAAGCAUCGAAAGUGACUCGGUAUUUAGGACAGGUCCAAGGACUUUCAGGAUGGCUUCCUUCAACAUCACAUAUGUUUUCAAUAUUCUCCAACAUCCACCAUGCAACUGCAAGAUUGACAGUACCAGCAACCAAAGUUCCCACCAACUGAGCUACAUACAUGCAGCGUGGUGGUAUUUUCAUGUAAUGCCCAAGUUUAAGGUCAGAUAAGAAAGAAAGGGCAUGGAUUGUGCUAAUUCGCCCAUAAAUCUUGAAAAGCAAAUUUGCAAUGGGUUUUCCUGGUAGUACAUACCCAAUUAUGAACUGCGCUAUUAUAUCGUAUCCUGGUUGCUGCAUUGUGGAGACAAGAACAUAACAAGACCCCCAAAAAAAAAUUAGCAUGCAAUUUGUUUUGUAUUCUGAUUGAUGUUUAGCUCCCUAUGUCUAGAGGGCAAAGAAGAGUAAAGACCAAGGGAACAUUGAUUGGAUUACCUGGUUGGUAGUUGCUUGAAUGACCCCAAUAGGAAGAGUAACAAUCCACGCCAAGCCAAAGGCAAAGAUCAUACCCCACCAUUGAAGCUGCACAUCUUUAUGCCACACAAAGGACAUCAAUAGAGAUAGGACAAUGCUCCCUACCAAUAAAAUUAAGAACCACCAUUCAGGCACUUGUUUGUAACUUUGCAUCAAUUUUGCAUGAAUGUCCAGUUUCGCAUUCUUCAUUGCUGAUCUACUUUGCCUCAAAAUAUCUCUUCCAUGAAACAAAGCCACAUGAGUGAGAGUUGCGGUAAACCUUGCAAAUCCUGAUCCAAUGGAGAGGGCAAAGAGAGGGCUAAGAUAGAGCUUCCCAUAACUAUCAUAAGCAGGAACAUUGAGUUGAUAAUCAGGGGUUAAGAUCUUUGUGGUAUCAUAUUUGUUUCCACUCGAAGUGAACAGCUGAUUGGAAAAUAUUGGAAACUUUCGAGCAUCAAAAGUGUUAUACUUCCAAUAACACAGAGGGACUAUUAUGUAGAUAAACAUGACAAAUCCAAUCCCAACAUUGAGAAUGGAUGACCAGGGUGUCACCAGGGGGCUGCCGUGAUAUGCUGAAAUCCCAGCCCAAUCAAUGGUGAAAGCACCAAUUCCAAGCCCGUGGUAACCUGAUCCUAUUUGUUGAGCUGUGAUGCUGUGAGGCCAUACCCAGCAGACCCAUGAAAAAAAUGUCAAUAUUGGGAGCAAGUAGCCAGGCAGUGCAUAAUAAAGAAAGCUUGCUGUCAUCACUAUAAGGAAGAAUCGCAUUCGAGUCAUUCCUUUCCUUCUCGGUUCCUUUUCAUGAAGAGCUCUAAAUAAAGAAACCUGAGCAAGAUUUGAAGGCCACCACAUUUCAACAGGAUCAACAAGAUAUCUCCUGAGCAUCCCAGCCCAUCCAUAUCCCAAUAUCUGAGUAGUCAAGACUAUGAGGAGCCCACAGAGAAAAUUCAGGCUUUGUUUAUAAUAAGCCUUCAUAACAGUAAUGGCACCAAUCGAGUAGGCAUCUCCCCCACCGUAAGACACACCACAAUUAGCAAAGAUAGUAAUGAUCACAUGCUCUUUGAUGUUAAAAGGCCCAGGAUUCAAACUAAAACCCCAUCCAAAAAUCUUAUACUCCUUAGUUGGAAGGAUCCUGGCCAUGAUCUUGCCAAUGGGCAGGACACCAAUCUGCAUGAGAAUGGCUGAGAUUGUGAGAGGCUGAGUACGGUAUGUGAAGAAAGUGUUUAGGAAUAUCAGGAGCACACAUGAAGUUAAACCCAGAAACCACGCACGAAAUGUCAUCACUGGGAGUGUUGGGUCAUCGGUUUCCGGCACCACUAGAGCCACCUCCUCUACAGGACACCUUUCGUGCUCUGUUGAGUCUCCGUUUGUGGCCUUUCCACCCUCUAAACCACCAUCAACAGGGGUUUGGCUCUUGCUCGCCAUUGAUGAACACCAAAGGCAGAUGUAAGAAGACCUCUCUCUCUCUUCUGUAGGCCGUAGCCAAUAUUAGUACACUUUCGAUUC